rnacentral:rRNA from 1 species
GGGAGGCAUGGAUUUCGUGAUCUCAGAUUAUUUAAUCAAGCUCUUCUCGCUAAGCAAGCAUGGAGAUUGGUGGUUAACCCUGAAUCCUUGUGCGCCAAGGUGAUCAAGGCAAAAUAUUAUCCCCAAGGCCAUAUCCUUGAUACCGCUUUUCCACAGGCGUCAUCACUCUCUUGGCAAGGUAUUUUACAUGGAUUGGACCUGUUAAAAUCGGGAGUAAUUUGGAGAGUGUGUGAUGGGUCUAAUAUUAAUAUUUGGAGAGAUAACUGGCUACCUAGAAACUCUGGCCUUAAAGUUACUGCUAGGAAGAAUAUGACCAGAAUUAAAUGGGUGUCGGAUUUGAUCGUCAGUGGUACUAGGAGUUGGGAUGAGGAUUUGCUUAGGCAUCUGUUUUACUCGCAUGAUGCGGAGGAGAUCCUUAGUUUGCACAUUCAGUCAGUAGGGGAUGGUGACUUUAAUUUGUUGCUUAGCAUUUUGAGAAGAAUGGGUUGUUCUCGGUUAAAAGUGUGUACAAGCUUGCGCUCACUUUAA